GAGAGAUUAAAGGCCUUUGCCCUUCAAUCUCAUUCGUUCGUUUCUUCAUUGUUUUGUUUUCUUUGUUUCAGUACCAAUAUUCUGAAACCUUUGAAUCGCUCUUGUUACCCAAGAAGAAGCAACAUGACCAGUGAAGUUUGACAAUAGAAGCAGCAUCAGUUAUUAGAGUAGGCGAGCUGGUUAAAGUUUCCAUGGUGAGCAUAAUGACAUCAUACAUUCUAUACGGGAGGGGUGUGCUGUCAGAUUGCCGCAACUUGUAAAUGUUUAUAUGGAUGUCAAAUUUCUGUGCAGUUGCAAAAACAGGUGUUCUGAGGCUGGUUAAGUGCUGACUAGAGAUUAGAAGACAUUUUAGUUACAGGAAGUGGAUCUUUGAAAAGAAAAUUUGAAAGAAGUUUCAUUAUGUAGUUUAAUGCUUGUAAUAACGAUUGUUACAACAAAAGGAUCAUAUAUGUUUUGUUUAACAUCUCAUGUAUGUCUUUAUUUUUUCAGCCCAUUUUAUUUUUAG